rnacentral:rRNA from 1 species
AUUGAACGCUGGCGGCAUGCCUUACACAUGCAAGUCGAACGGCAGCACGGGAGCAAUCCUGGUGGCGAGUGGCGAACGGGUGAGUAAUAUAUCGGAACGUGCCCAGUCGUGGGGGAUAACGUAGCGAAAGCUACGCUAAUACCGCAUAUGAUCUAUGGAUGAAAGCGGGGGAUCGCAAGACCUCGCGCGAUUGGAGCGGCCGAUAUCAGAUUAGGUAGUUGGUGGGGUAAAAGCCUACCAAGCCUUCGAUCUGUAGCUGGUCUGAGAGGACGACCAGCCACACUGGAACUGAGACACGGUCCAGACUCCUACGGGAGGCAGCAGUGGGGAAUUUUGGACAAUGGGCGCAAGCCUGAUCCAGCAAUGCCGCGUGCAGGAUGAAGGCC